rnacentral:rRNA from 1 species
CCUACGGGUGGCAGCAGUGAGGAAUAUUGGUCAAUGGACGCGAGUCUGAACCAGCCAUGCCGCGUGCAGGAUGACUGCUCUAUGGGUUGUAAACUUCUUUUAUACAAGAGUAAACCGAGAUACGUGUGCCUUUUUGCAUGUAUUUUAUGAAUAAGGAUCGGCUAACUCCGUGCCAGCAGCCGCGGUAAUACGGAGGAUCCGAGCGUUAUCCGGAUUUAUUGGGUUUAAAGGGAGCGUAGGUGGUAUGUUAAUUUAGGGGUGAAAUUCUGAGGCUCAACUUCAGAAUUGCCAGUGAUACUGGCAGGCUAGAGUGUAGUUGAGGUAGGCGGAAUGCGUGGUGUAGCGGUGAAAUGCUUAGAGAUCAUGAAGAACACCGAUUGCGAAGGCAGCUUACCAAGCUAUUACUGACGUUGAGGCACGAAAGCGUGGGGAGCAAACAGGAUUAGAUACCCGAGUAGUC